GCGGUAAUUCCAGCUCUGUAAGCGUAUACCAAAGUUGUUGCAGUUAAAACGCUCGUAGUCGAAUUUUGGCUGAGCGGCUCGAGGCGUCCGCGAGGACGUGCUUGGGUCUGUCGCCUUUGUGGAUGGGGGCUUGGUGGUGCUUUACUGCCUCGCCAAGUCGCUGCCACCGUUUACUGUGAAAAAAUUAGAGUGUUCAAAGCAAGCGAUUGCCCUGAAUACAUUAGCAUGGAAUAAUAGAAUAGGACCUGGUCUUAUUUUGUUGGUUUGUGAAGUUCAGGUAAUGAUUAAGAGGGACGGUUGGGGGCAUUUGUAUUCCGGCGCUAGAGGUGAAAUUCUCGGAUU
rnacentral:rRNA from 1 species